rnacentral:rRNA from 1 species
GUGAACAACUAAGGGCGCGCGGUGGAUGCCUAGGCUCUCGGAGGCGAUGAAGGACGCGAUAAGCCGCGAUAGGCCACGGCGAGGUGCAAGUAACCCUUGACCCGUGGAUUUCCGAAUGGGGCAACCCGGCCGUCUAGAUGACGGUCAUGCAUUAAUGCAGGCGAACGCGGGGAACUGAAACAUCUCAUUACCCGCAGGAGAAGAAAACAAAAUGUGAUUCCCCCAGUAGUGGCGAGCGAACGGGGAAGAGCCCAAACCGUUGCCGUUUCGGCGACAGCGGGGUCAUGGGACCGCGAUACUCGACGGAAGACGAAGUGCAAUUACCUGGAAAGGUAAGCCGUGGAGGGUGAUAGCCCCGUGCACGACAGCCCCAUCGAAGAUAGCGGAAUCCCGAGUAGGGCGGGACACGAGAAAUCCUGCCUGAAUUCGCCAGGACCUCCUGGCAAGGCUAAAUACUCCCGAGAGACCGAUAGUGAACCAGUACCGCGAGGGAAAGGUGAAAAGUACCCCGAGCAGGGGGGUGAAAUAGACCCUGAACCCGCGCGCCUACAAGCGGUCGGAGCCAUGAAAUAUGGUGACGGCGUGCCUUUUGCAUAAUGAGCCUACGAGUUAGUCGUCACCAGCGAGGUUAAGGGCUUCAGGCCCGUUAGCCGAAGUGAAAGCGAGCCUUAACAGGGCGUCGAGUUGGUGGCGCUAGACGCGAAACCUUGUGAUCUACCCACGAGCAGGUUGAAGGUCGCGGUAACACGUGAUGGAGGACCGAACCGGUAAACGUUGAAAAGUUUUCGGAUGACUCGCGGGUAGGGGUGAAAGGCCAAUCAAACUGGGAAAUAGCUCGUACUCUCCGAAAUGCAUUUCGGUGCAGCCUGUGAUGUUCUGUUCCAGAGGUAGAGCUACUGGUUGGACGCGAGGGCUUCACCGCCUAUCAAAUCCGGAUAAACUCCGAAUGCUGGAACACGAAAUCAUGGAGUGAGCCCGCGGGUGCUAAGGUCCGCGGACGAGAGGGAAAGAACCCGGACCACCGGCUAAGGUCCCGGAUGGACAGUUAAGUUGAUCAAACGAGGUGGGAUCGCGGAGACAGCUAGGAUGUUGGCUUGGAAGCAGCCAUUCAUUUAAAGAGUGCGUAACAGCUCACUAGUCGAGCGAUCCCGCGUGGAUAAUACACGGGCAUGAAACUGUCAACCGAAGCCGUGGGGUCAGUGUUGAACUGACCGGUAGGAGAGCAUUCCUGCCAGCGUUGAAGGUCACCCGCGAGAGUGACUGGAGCGGCAUGAAAAGCAAAUGUAGGCAUAAGUAACGAUAAUGGGGGCGAGAACCCCCCACGCCGCAAGACCAAGGAUUCCCCGGCAAUGUCAAUCAGCCGGGGGUCAGCCGGCCUCUAAGGCUCACCCGAAAGGGGAUGCCGACGAGAAACGGGUUAACAUUCCCGUGCUUCUCGUCACCGUGACGCGGUGACGGGGUGAUGAAUGGACCGCGCGCUGACGGAAUAGCGCGUUGAAGACCGUACCCUUUGACGGUGGUAGUCAAGCACGCCACCGGAGGCGAAAGCCGAUAGUACCACGAGACCCCGGUCGAGUGGAUAGCGUCCAGGCAAUUUACCCCCUAGAAAACCCGCUAAACUUCAAGUGACGAGGAACCGUACUGUAAACGGACACACGUGGUCGGGUAGAACAUACCAAGGCGCUCGAGUGAUUCAUGGUCAAGGAACUAGGCAAAAUAGUCCUGUAACCUCGGGAAAAAGGACGCUCUAUGAUAGAGCCGCAGAGUAAUGGCCCAGGCGACUGUUUACCAAAAACACAUGGCUAUGCCAAAUCGAAAGAUGACGUAUAUGGCCUGACACCUGCCCGGUGCCGGAAGGUUAAGAGGAGAGCUCAUCGGAAACGAGAAGGUUUGAAUUGAAGCCCCGGUAAACGGCGGCCGUAACUAUAACGGUCCUAAGGUAGCGAAAUUCCUUGUCGGGUAAGUUCCGACCUGCACGAAUGGUGUAACGAUCUGGGCACUGUCUCGACCAUGAGCUCGGUGAAAUUGUAGUUCCGGUGAAGAUGCCGGGUACCCGCGACGGGACGGAAAGACCCCGUGAACCUUUACUGCAGCUUCGCGUUGUUCCCGGGCACGGGACGUGUAGGAUAGGUCGGAGGCUACGAUUCGGUUUCGCCAGGAAUCGAGGAGCCAUCGUUGAAAUACGACCCUUCUCUUGUCUGGGAUCUAACCCAUGUGAUGGGGACACCGCGUGGUGGGUAGUUUGACUGGGGUGGUCGCCUCCAAAAGCGUAACGGAGGCUUCCAAAGGUACCCUCGGGUUGGUUGGUAAUCAACCUUAGAGUGCAAUGGCACAAGGGUGCUUGACCGGGAGACCAACGAGUCGAUCGGGUGCGAAAGCAGGGCAUAGUGAUCCGGUGAUCCCGCGUGGAAGGGUCAUCGCUCAAAGGAUAAAAGGUACUCCGGG